UCGUAGGUGACCUGCGGAGGGAUCAUUACACAAAUAUGAAGGCGGGCUGGAACCUCUCGGGGUUACAGCCUUGCUGAAUUAUUCACCCUUGUCUUUUGCGUACUUCUUGUUUCCUUGGUGGGUUCGCCCACCACUAGGACAAACAUAAACCUUUUGUAAUUGCAAUCAGCGUCAGUAACAAAUUAAUAAUUACAACUUUCAACAACGGAUCUCUUGGUUCUGGCAUCGAUGAAGAACGCAGCGAAAUGCGAUAAGUAGUGUGAAUUGCAGAAUUCAGUGAAUCAUCGAAUCUUUGAACGCACAUUGCGCCCUUUGGUAUUCCAAAGGGCAUGCCUGUUCGAGCGUCAUUUGUACCCUCAAGCUUUGCUUGGUGUUGGGCGUCUUGUCUCUAGCUUUGCUGGAGACUCGCCUUAAAGUAAUUGGCAGCCGGCCUACUGGUUUCGGAGCGCAGCACAAGUCGCACUCUCUAUCAGCAAAGGUCUAGCAUCCACUAAGCCUUUUUUUCAACUUUUGACCUCGGAUCAGGUAGGGAUACCCGCUGAACUUAAGCAUAUCAAUA
rnacentral:rRNA from 1 species